GAUCAACGCUGGCGGCGUGCCUAAUGCAUGCAAGUCGAACGGGGUCAUCUUCGGAUGGCUUACGUGGCGGACGGGUGAGGAACACGUGGGCAACCUGCCUGGAGUGGGGGAUAACCCGGGGAAACCCGGGGUAAUACCCCAUGAAACCUUGUGCCGGGUGGGGCAUGGGAGGAAAGCCUUUGGGCGCUCUGGGAGGGGCCUGCGGCCGAUUAGGUAGACGGUGGGGUAACGGCCUACCGUGCCGAUGAUCGGUAGCUGGUUUGAGAGGAUGAUCAGCCACACGGGGACUGAGACACGGCCCCGACUCCUACGGGAGGCAGCAGCAAGGAAUUUUCCGCAAUGGGCGAAAGCCUGACGGAGCAACGCCGCGUGUGGGAUGACGCUUUUCGGAGUGUAAACCACUGUUCAUGGGGACGAAGCACUGACGGUACCCAUGGAGGAAGGCCCGGCUAACUACGUG
rnacentral:rRNA from 1 species